GAGAAGAUGGCGGAGGUAUAGAAGUGAAGAGAGAGAGAGAGAGAGAGAGAGAGAGAGAGACAGAUUUAAAGAAGAUUUAGAUCUUCUUUUGUCGCCCCAACAAAAUUUAAUAAAAGUAGGAAAAAUAAGUUUUCUUAAAAUGUACUUUUAAUAAAUAAAGCUCCAUAGGGUCUUUUUGUCUUUUUAAAUAAUUCAGGUUUCUUCACCUGAAAAAUAAUUUUUAUUAAAAAAAGUGAAACAGCUAUACCCACGUUUAUUCCUUCAUACAAGCCUCUAAUUAAGAGGCAAAUGAUUAU
rnacentral:rRNA from 1 species